rnacentral:lncRNA from 1 species
AUGCUAUGUAGAGUCUUCUGUGAUUACCAAGAAGAAUUACUUGAUUUGGAUAUGUAUAAUUAAAGUUAUGAAUUUUGUAAGCUAAUAGUGUCAACCUCCCUUCUAUAGUUGCAAUUGUGUUGGUACUUCAUUUUCAAAAAUGCAUAACUUAAUAACCACACCUCCAAAUCUGCUUUUGUUGUUUUUAUAAUGUGGUUAUGUGAUUAGUCUUUGGUUUGUAUUCUUUGAAUAUCAUGAUUUGAGGUCGUUUUGUAUUUUUAUAAAAAUUGGAUUAGCUAGAUAUGUCAAAACUGUCCAAGUCUGCCCUGUUUUGCUAAAUGAGACAUUGUGCAAG